AAGUCUGAUGUGAAAGCCUUCGGCUUAACCGGAGAAGUGCAUCGGAAACUGGAUAACUUGAGUGCAGAAGAGGGUAGUGGAACUCCAUGUGUAGCGGUGGAAUGCGUAGAUAUAUGGAAGAACACCAGUGGCGAAGGCGGCUACCUGGUCUGCAACUGACGCUGAGACUCGAAAGCAUGGGUAGCGAACAGGAUUAGAUACCCUGGUAGUCCAUGCUGUAAACGAUGAGUGCUAGGUGUUGGAGGGUUUCCGCCCUUCAGUGCCGGAGCUAACGCAUUAAGCACUCCGCCUGGGGAGUACGACCGCAAGGUUGAAACUCAAAGGAAUUGACGGGGGCCCGCACAAGCGGUGGAGCAUGUGGUUUAAUUCGAAGCUACGCGAAGAACCUUACCAGGUCUUGACAUCUUGCGCCAACCCUAGAGAUAGGGCGUUUCCUUCGGGAACGCAAUGACAGGUGGUGCAUGGUCGUCGUCAGCUCGUGUCGUGAGAUGUUGGGUUAAGUCCCGCAACGAGCGCAACCCUUGUUACUAGUUGCCAGCAUUAAGUUGGGCACUCUAGUGAGACUGCCGGUGACAAACCGGAGGAAGGUGGGGACGACGUCAGAUCAUCAUGCCCCUUAUGACCUGGGCUACACACGUGCUACAAUGGACGGUACAACGAGUCGCGAACUCGCGAGGGCAAGCAAAUCUCUUAAAACCGUUCUCAGUUCGGACUGCAGGCUGCAACUCGCCUGCACGAAGUCGGAAUCGCUAGUAAUCGCGGAUCAGCAUGCCGCGGUGAAUACGUUCCCGGGCCUUGUACACACCGCCCGUCACACCAUGAGAGUUUGUAACACCCAAAGUCGGUGGGGUAACCUUUAGGAGCCAGC
rnacentral:rRNA from 2 species